UACGUAGGGGGCAAGCGUUGUCCGGAUUUAUUGGGCGUAAAGAGCGUGUAGGCGGCCAUGUAGGUCCGUUGUGAAAACUCGAGGCUCAACCUCGAGACGCCGAUGGAAACCAUGUGGCUAGAGUCCGGAAGAGGAGAGUGGAAUUCCUGGUGUAGCGGUGAAAUGCGCAGAUAUCAGGAAGAACACCCGUAGCGAAGGCGGCACUCUGGGCCGGUACUGACGCUGAGACGCGAAAGCGUGGGGAGCGAACAGG
rnacentral:rRNA from 1 species